AAUCAACGCUGGCGGCGCGCUUAACACAUGCAAGUCGAGCGAGAAAGGGGGAGCAAUCCCUGAGUACAGCGGCGUACGGGUGAGUAACACGUGGGUGAUCUACCUUCUAGUGUGGAAUAACCCUGGGAAACCGGGGCUAAUACCGCAUAAGCCUGUGAAGGGAAAGCAGCAAUGCGCUGGAAGAGGAGCCCGCGGCCGAUUAGCUAGUUGGUGAGGUAACGGCCCACCAAGGCGAUGAUCGGUAGCCGGCCUGAGAGGGCACCACGGCCACACUGGCACUGAAACACGGGCCAGACUCCUACGGGAGGCAGCAGUGGGGAAUCUUGCACAAUGGAGGCAACUCUGAUGCAGCGA
rnacentral:rRNA from 1 species